CGUGUUCGAUCCACAUCGAUCCCAUGGACCGCCCAACACCCUGUGGUCCAUGAUGGACCGCAUAGGGGUGCUGGGUCGCCCGCGCAUGCUGGGCCGGCCCAUGCACGCACCUGUGCUGGGCCCGCCUGCAUGCUGGGCCACACGUGCCCCAGUGCAUUUGUCUCCAUCGGGCUCGAUGGUGCCAUCGUCAGCCUCUACCAGCCCACAGUCGGCC
rnacentral:lncRNA from 1 species